rnacentral:rRNA from 1 species
GACGAACGCUGGUGGCGUGCUUAACACAUGCAAGUCGAGCGAGUGGAUUCCCUUCGGGGAUGAAGCUAGCGGCGGACGGGUGAGUAACACGUGGGCAACCUGCCUUAUAGGGGGGGAUAGCCUUCCGAAAGGAAGAUUAAUACCGCAUAACAUCAGAUUAUCGCAUGGUAGACUGAUCAAAGGAGCAAUCCGCUAUAAGAUGGACCAGCGUCGCAUUAGCUAGUUGGUGAGGUAACGGCCCACCAAGGCGACAUUGCGUAGCCGACCUGAGAGGGCGAUCGGCGACAUUGGGAUCGAGCGAAGUCUCAGACUCCUACGGGAGGCAGCAGUGGGGAAUAUUGCACAAUGGGGGAAACCCUGAUGCAGCAACGCUGCGUGAGUGAUGAAGGCCUUCGGGUUGUAAAGCUCUUUGAUCAGGGAAGAUAAUGACGGUACCUGAAGAACAAGCCACGGCUAACUGCGUGCCAGCCGCCGCGGUAACAC